rnacentral:lncRNA from 1 species
UGCAUAGUAAAAUCUAUAAAUUAAAAAACCUAAAAUGAUCUAUAAUUUAAAAUGGAUGGAGUAAUUGAUAAUUGUUGUUGCAGCAAUUAGGUUGCUUAUAUUAUCCUAGAGCGCACUUGGUCGGAAGAUGAAGUACCCAAUGUCGAUGCCAGUUAAUUUCCUUGCUUUUCCUGUGAAGUAUCCAAACUCUUUAUCAGAGUAUCUUACUAUUAAUAAUUGGAGGCUCCUUUUGAAGCCUCCAGGUGAAGGUGGACACUCUAAAAAAAAGAAAGAAAUCCUAGAAAUUCUUACAAAAAAGCAAAACAUCCGACCAUCGAUUGAUAGAUUCAAAUCAUCAUAGCCAUUGGAUCUAUUAUGUUUUCUAAAAAAUUACCCACCUAUGCCAUUAUGAAAAUAGCCUAAAGUAACCCCCUAAAUCUAUAUAUAAAUUACCCACCUAUGCCAUUAUAUAAAAUAAACUAAAGCAACCCCUAAUCUUCAUCAAAAUUACCUACUUAUGCCAUUAUAAAUAAUAUUUAAAAUAAUCACCUAAUUUGCAACUGAAUUGCCCACCACUAUUACUUAGAAAACUUAAAGUAACUCCUUAAAUUUGCAUCUAUAUUACCC